AAACUCCAUGAGUCUUGAGGAUUUUCGGAAUGUUGGAAUCAGUGGUGUUUUGUUUUUGAUGAUAUUAUCCGAUGGAGGUGACAGGGAGAGAAGAUGCUAGCUCAAUGGUGCUGGCCGUGAAGGAUUUUGGCGCAUCCAAGGAUAUAACCAACAUAAACACAAUGCUUACAAGGAGAUAUCGACUCAUUUGAUUGCUAUAUUGGCUUUGGUCACCCUUGUGGGGCUCCUUAUCUUUGAAGCAAGGUUCGGAUGCUCUUUGGACGCAGGAAGACGAACAUGAUAGAAAAAGAAAGGGAUCAACCUUGCCAUGACCCCAUAUUUCUGUAGGCUAAUAUCCCUUAUUUGCACUAUCCUACACCGAAUACUUAUAGGGUUAUGUGCCUUUGCCAUGCAGCACAUGUCAAUGGCAGUUCAGGAAGAGAUGACAUCACAAGUGAGCUCAAUUGAUAAGCCCACUAGCAGAAAAAUGUGGUUUGAGCCUGCUCCAACCCCUCCUCUGAUGUGGUGUGGUGGGAGGAGGAAGAAGAGCAUGCAUGCUCUCUGUCUACAUCCAGCAUCCACACGGCUAGAUCGACGGGUCUAAACUAUGGGGAUCCGCGGCACAGUAGGAGAGGUGACGCCGGCCGGCAGCGCCUCACCGCCAGCUAUUGUUUGGCGUCGGCAAGGAGAAGGGCGCUUAGGAUCUGCUUCGCUGUGCAUGGCUGUUGAAGUUCAGCAUCGCCAUGAUGUGUAUGUUUUCUCUAUUUUCCUCAUAUUGCCCUAUUCCCAAUUUUACAAACUGCUAUCUGACGCACAAUGGCCACGCCACGCACUGGUGAGAUUCAAGGUGCAGUCGAGCAAGAGUCAGUUCGAGGUGAGGUGUCUCACGUCUAUCUCCUGCUGCUCACCAGCAAGGCUCGCUGACGAGCGGCCAGAUCCACACGAGGUGGAUGUCACACACACGGCCCUCUCCCCUCCAUCCUUUCUCUUUCCUACAACUAUUAUGUCUUUGUACCUUGUUAUAUUGCUCUUUCAUCCAUGGUGAUAAAGAUGUUAACUCAGUUUGAUAAUGGAGUCACAGAUUUGUAUAUGAUAAUUCUUGGAAUUCAAAUUGUAACAUCCAUACUAAUUUGUUGCUUUGUCUCAACCAAUAAUUCAAUGUAAACCUAUUAACAUGAAUUUUAUGGGUAUAGAUUGUCUCCUCCUAUGCCAAUUGAUUUUCUCCAGAUUAGUUGCACCAUAAUUUCAAGAAGGUUACAAACCUAGCAAUGAAUGAGACUAUCAUUAUGAUUGAAGAUAGCUGACUGUGACAAUUGUUUCUUUUGAAGUUUCACUGUUUAUGGAGGUGACAAUGCUAGAUAUAUACAUCUGUAUCAUGGCACUUCUCCAGCAAACAAAAGCUUGGUAGCCAUCUACUUUCAGAGAGUUUGAAAACGUACUAUCACGCUAACUCACUUAUCCAGAUUAAUGGUAAGUGUGUGUUUUCUUGUAUACCAAUCUACAGAACUACAAUUGAGAUCUCUACCUCCUAUAUUUCCCUUUUGUCAUUUUUUCUGGCUUUUAUGCUACUACUCAAAAUGUUUGACUAUUCAAUUAUAAACGUCAUGCAUCAGUGCUUACUUUCUUACUCCCUUUAGACAUGAUUUCCCUGUCCAAACAUUCAGCUGAACCGACACUAGCAAUAUUGAUCAGCUGAACUUGCAGAAGGGGAGAGGUACUAAAGGAACAUCUUACGUAUUUUUGGUCUCAUAUUCUUUGAGUACAUAACUAUCCAUUUAUUAAAAACUAUAUUUGAUGGACAAAUUGAACGGCACAAUUUAAGGAUGAUAAAAAUAAUAAUUUUAACAAGUGGAAGUAAUGUAUGGUACCGUGUAAAAAUGAAAGGUAUAGUUUUCCCACUCCUCCAAGAUGAGUUCAGUGCCUGUGUUUAAACCAUGGAUGUAGAGAUGGUCAGGUCAAAUGAAAUGUAUGAAUACUACUACAAUUGUUGAACAUUUGAUGAAAUCAGAAGUUAAGUAGGUUACAUAUAUGUAAGUUAGUCUUGUGGCUGAUGCUUUCACCAUGAUAAAUACAACCCCGAACGCAUAUGCCAACCAAUGUUUAAGCGACUCAAAGACUAUAACUAAUGCUAAAUACCGAUGCCUGCUACUUAGGGGCACUAUCUAGCAUGGUUCAAAAGAGAGGUAAUUGUACCUGAAGCAGUGGACACAACCAUUCCUUGCAUUUGUAAGAGUUGUGCAGUAGUAUAAUAACCGUCUUUCUUUGAGGAGCAGUGUCGUUAAGUUUCAGUAGAAGUACAGGUACACGUUCCUGUUCAGCUGACUAAUGGAAAAAAAGUGAUAACAGAUUCUGUUAUUCAGGGAGCAAGAGCCAAAAUUUCUUCAACUAGCUUCUCCUAAGUUGCCCACCUCUUUCCUCGGGCAUGACUCAAUGGCUUGGAAAGAGCAGCAGAAUCAACACAAUCACCUUGAUCUGGAAGGUGGAAUUUGUUUGCUCAGAUCGAAGGAGGAUCCUGGCCUCUCCGAGCCCCGGAGGCCCGUUGCCUUGGUAAAAUAGCUCCUUUACCAGACUCCCUUGCUCCAUGGCCAGAGGCACCGGGACUGCGUGACGACGAGCAGAUUCGAAGCAAGCCAUUAUUCAACUCGGGAUGCAAACUCGCGGCGCGAGGGAGAGAAAGUGAGGGGUAUGUGGUUGGCUGACCUCGGUGUUUCCGGCGGACCUACUGGUACUUCGACCAGAUGUAUCCAGCGGCAGCAGUUGGGGCUCCGGUGGAGUCGGGGCGGCGGCAGGUGACUGGACCGCGCGUGGUGGAGAACUGGAGGAGAGGGAACCGAGCCCCACACUCACGAGCCGUUUCUUGGAGCGACUGCUCACAUGCGGCACGCGGCCGGCAGCCGGCAGCGGAGGUACACGCGUGGCUGAAGCGCUAUGGGGGCCACAAGGCAGGCGGUUCCUUUUUUAUUGAUUUGUCAUGCGUGCAUGCCUUCCUGAUUGCUUGUUGUUGCCGACACAUUAAGUGAUCACAUGUCUGUAAUCCAUUGUCGUUCUUUCUGAGAGACAGUGGGAAUACAAAUACUGAGAUUUGCUUCCCAUUUUCCUUUAA